CGAGAGAGGAGAUCGAGACAGAGAAGAUUAAUGAAAGAUGAUUGAAGAUAGAAAUGAUUGAGGAUAGAAAUUGAGAAGGAUUCGAAGUAGAAGAUGUGAAUGCUGCCAUCGAUUAACAACAUGGGUCGCUGCUGUGUGAUGUGAAGAGUUAGGGUUUUGCAGCGGAAUUCGAAAUUUAAUUGAAGAAUUGAAUUCAGGGUCUGAGAAUCUGAGGGUUUUUAUGAGUCUUGAUGUUACGGAGAAGAAGAUGUGGUUCUCUGUUAACAGAAAGAAGGGUUGAGGAACUCAAACCGGUGAUGUGGAAAUCAGAGAGAUGGGUUCGAUGCUCUUACCAUGGUGAUUAUCAAGGAAUGGGGCUGUUGUCAAAUUAAGAGAAGAACGAAUAUCCCUGGUUGUGGGUUUUUUUAACGAAGAUGAUGGAGAUGUUAUUGUGUAACGACGGGGUUGAAAUUGAAGAACUGAAAGUGAAAUUAAUCAUAGCUAUAUUGGGAUUUCACUUAAUUCUGCUAGAUCAGUGCUUGAUCAUAUACAGGGAGAUGAUUUGCAUAUCAGUUGUUAUUAUAUCGACACAAAUCUUAAUGCAUAUGCGAUAUCGACUGCUCAGGCCAAUGCGAAUCCAAGUCCAGUUGUUCAAGUAUCAACCAUAGUUUGUGAAAAUUGCGAAUUAAAUGGUGCUGUGAGUUGCUCGCAGUGUGAGGUAAUGGGGUGAAUUCUGUUGACCACUCUGACAGACGGUUGAAGGCAGGUGGUUUAGGUUGGCUUUGUAGUUAUGAAUUGUUUGUAUACAGGACAUGCUCAUUGCUGGAACCGAUGCAUCUUCUUCGACGCUUGUGUGGGCAAUGACAGAACUAAUUAGCAGUCCAAUGGUGAUGGAAAGAGUACAAAAGGAAGUGAGAAGAUUUCUCGGCUAUAAAAACGUGGUACAUGAAAUUGAUCUUCCCAAACUGAACUACUUGAAAUCAGUGGUAAAAGAGACACUGCGGAUUCAUCCUCCAGGACCAUUGCUAGUUCCAAGGGAAACUAGAGAUGACUGCUUAAUAAACGGGUACAACAUCCCAGCCAAAACAAAGGUAUUCUUUAAUGCAAAAGCUAUUGCAGUGGACCCCUAAGUUUUUGGAAGACCCUGAAGAGUUCCGACCAGAAAGAUUCAUAACUAAGAACAUAGAAUUUAAAGGGCAUGACUUUGAGAUGGUACCAUUUGGGAUUGGACGGAGGGGUCGCCCUGGUAUUGAAUUUAAAGGGCAUGACUCAGCGCUAUUCCAUGUGAGGUAGCGUCUUGAGUACUCUCCAUCGCUUCGUUAUGUUUAUUUUCAAAAUGACAUUUCCUACGGCAAAAACCCAUCAGAUCUGGUUUUCCCCUCAGAUCUAGUCUUCUAAACCAUUUUUGUCAGACUAUCAGAAUUUAUUUUCCUCAAGUGUGUGCCGACCCCUUUCUCAAACUUUACUUCGGACCUAUCAUUGGGGUUGAAAAUAUUUUCUUUGAACUCAUUGGUAAAUUAUCUCUUUGGAUCUAAUUCGUUUAAGCCGAAGAGAUUUUCCUUUGGGGCGCACCCUCUAUGGAUCUGCGCCUUCUUCGAAUUUAUAGGUUUUCCUAAUCUAUUUGAAUUUGUUCGCUUAAAAUAAGCCUUUAAAUGAUCCCGUUUAGAACCAUUUCUCUUUGUCAUCAAUGUCCAAAAUACACCUAGGGUAUUUGCGAGACCCAAUACCUCUGAAGAGGGGAAUAAUUGCUGGGUUACCUCUCCCUACCCUCGGUGUCAAGGUUAUUUUCGUCAGAAUUAUUUUACUAACGAACCUUCUAUGGAUCCUGUUUCUUCGUCUAGACCCAUCUUUUGCAGAGAUAUCAGAUAUGGAGAAAAUCAAAGAUGAGGGAAAAGCGAAGGCAUCCUCAAAAGAAACGCUGAGGACGACACCAGUCAUGACUCGAAGCAAAUAGAAGGGUGAAAAAGCGAAGGCAUCAACCCAAAGGGUCGAUACAGUGGACAUCACUUCGCUAGUAAAUGCCAACGAAGUAGCAGCAUCAGCGGUCAAGUCCGUGGCAGCAAAAGCCGAUGCAGCAAAAGCAGCAGCAACUUCUCGUAACCACGAACAACGUGAAGGAUUUGCAGAAUCAACAAUGCAACAACCAGCUCUCGGGAUGCCGCUUACCAACGCUCAAAACCAAACUUUACCGGUCACCCUACCUUUGCUAACAAAAAAUCUACCGGCGAUUCCUCAUGACGAACCUCCAGUAGAGACCACUGAUCCGCCCAUACCCCUAAUCCAAACGGUUUAUGAAGAUCAUACCAUGGUGGAUGGGGGAAAAGGCAAGUUGGAACCCCAAAUCAAGGAUCAAAUCAUCACCCCCAGAUAAUGGCGGAGCUUGAGGAACUGAAGAAGAAUCAAAGGGUAUACACAGAGGCUGUAGCGUUGUUGGCACGAGAAAACCAAGAACUCAAAGAGAAAAUGGCUCAAAGCUUAGGAGCGGCGCACCAACAUGACGAAGCUAAUUCAAAAGCUCCAGAGCCCAAUCAUGACCAAAGACUCUUCGUGAAAAACGAAGCCAAUCCCGAACCAUUAAACCGAAGAACCGCCAGAAGAAAUAGGUCAUCGGAUCCGGACUAUACUCCUGAAGAUUCAGUGAGAACCGAGGAGCGGGACGAACCUUUGCGGAGGAUGAUCACUAUCGCGCUAUGGAAGACCUUCGUGCAGAGAUGAAGGCUGAAAUCAAGCAACUAAAGGCAAAGCAAUGAGGGGGAAGAUUAGAAGAGGUAAUGAGAGAAGCUAAUACUACACCGCUGACUCCGCGCCUAGCCAAAGCACUCAUACCGAAGAAAUGUCCAAUCCCAGCGAUCCCGCAACCAAUCUUUGAUAUUAUAAUCGUAUAUUAGCACGAUGGGAUCAAGAGGAUGUAGUCCUCUGUAGGUAUUUCCCAUCAAGUCUGAAAGGAUCGGCCUUGUCUUGGUUCGAUAACCUUCCUCCCAACUCCAUCAACUCCUUUGACCAACUCACUGAUAAAUUCUUGAGAACUUACAUGUACAACAAGGUCGUUCACGCUGGAAUGGACAAGUUAUUCUCACUGGCAAUCAAAUACAAGGAGACAACAAAAGAGUACUCGGAUAGAUGGCACAAGAUCUGACAAGCUAUAUGAAAUGUUGAUCUAGUGGUCAGCAUCAACUGCUACAAGUGGUGACUUGAUAUGAUGAGCCCACUAUUUGUUGAGAUUCACGGGAGUGUGCCCACUAAUGAAUGGGAUAUUCGAGUAAUUAUCGAAAAGCAUGCAAGGUUGGAAGAAAUUCAGCGGAAGAAUCCCAGAGCUCAGACUCAAAGGUCACAUCGAACUAAUUCAGCAGAGCAAUCCAGCGGGUCAAAAAGAGAUGGUUCUCCCGAACGUCCAACCGAAGAUAAGAGAGGAUGAAAGGAGGAUCGCCGACAUGACGAUCGAAAAUUCGAAGAUCAAGUCUACACAAAACUAAACACAAGUUAUGCUCGAAUCUUAAGAGAAAUUAAGGGCCGGGAAAACUUGGAAUGUUCAUGGUCUAAAGGAAAGCAGCCCCCAAGAUCCGAAAAGUCAAAGGAUUACUGCGAAUAUCACUGCUUCAAUGGGUACCAGACCGAAAAAUGCAAGAAUCUGAAGAUAAUGGUCCAAAAUCUCAUUGACGCGGGAGAUCUCAAGCAGUAUGUAUGAAAAGUAGAAACCGAAGAUAGGGCUACACGAAGCAAGCAAGUUCAAUUGCCUGAAGAAAACCGAACAAUGAAUACCAUUUCAUGUUCCGAAGCUACCGGACCUUCACUAACAGCUCAGAUAGGAAAAAGGCUGCGGAAGCAAUUUGAGGAUUACUGCGAGCUAUACAAAAUCGAUGAAGUAGAAGUGGACGAACAUGAGCAAUGGAUGAACGCGCCCUUGACCUUCGACUCUGAAGAUAUCGAAGAAGACAUGGAAGAUCACAAUGAUCCUUUGGUCCUCACAUUGCCAGUAGCGGGAUGAUGGUAUUUUCAAUCGAGUUGUAGUAAAAAGUUCGUUGAGACUUGUGAAAGCAAAAUAUUUUAGAUUUAAU